rnacentral:rRNA from 1 species
AGUGAACGCUGGCGGUAGGCCUAACACAUGCAAGUCGAACGGCAGCACAGUAAGAGCUUGCUCUUACGGGUGGCGAGUGGCGGACGGGGGAGGAAUACAUCGGAAUCUACUUUUUCGUGGGGGAGAACGUAGGGAAACUUACGCUAAUACCGCAUACGACCUACGGGUGAAAGCAGGGGAUCUUCGGACCUUGCGCGAUUGAAUGAGCCGAUGUCGGAUUAGCUAGUUGGCGGGGUAAAGGCCCACCAAGGCGACGAUCCGUAGCUGGUCUGAGAGGAUGAUCAGUCACACUGGAACUGAGACACGGUCCAGACUCCUACGGGGGGCAGCAGUGGGGAAUAUUGGACAAAGGGCGCAAGCCUGAUCCAGCCAUACCGCGUGGGUGAAGAAGGCCUUCGGGUUGUAAAGCCCUUUUGUUGGGAAAGAAAAGCAGCAGGUUAAUACCCCGCUGUUCUGACGGUACCCAAAGAAUAAGCACCGGCUAACUUCGUG